AGGUUGUAUCCAGCAGGGUGUGUGCUCAGCACCUAGAGCCAGGCCAGUGACAGUGACAGAGACAUAGGAAAGGGAGGCAGUGAAUGGUAGCGACUGAGGCACGGUGGACCUCUGUGCCACCAGAGGACAAGAGCUGAGUCACAUGUGAGAAGCUGGGACCUCUCACAUCGAGGCCUCUGAGAUACAAGUGCGCACACGUCUGAGCUGCCGCCCAAGGACCCGUGGUUUACGCUCACUUUUGUAAAGUAUUCGUGUUCGGGGCCUCGAUACUUGUAAUUUUGUUGUUGUAUUUUACAUUUUUUUCUAGAUCAAUUCUCUCCGUUUUCAUUCAGCAGUGGGAGAAGACUGAAUAUCUCUUACACCAGGAACAUGACUUUAAGAAGUGGUAAAAACGAUAUAAUCAUAGCUGUGACGUAUAACCGAGAUGGGUCAUAUGACAUGCAGAUUGAAAAUAAGUUAUUCCGAGUCCUGGGCGAUCUUUCCAAUGAGGAUGGCUAUACCUACCUGAAGUCUUCUGUUAAUGGAGUAGCCAGUAAAUCCAAGUUCAUCCUCCUGGACAACACCAUCUACCUGUUUUCUAUGGAAGGCAGUAUUGAAGUUGGCAUUCCAGU
rnacentral:lncRNA from 1 species